rnacentral:rRNA from 1 species
GAGUUUGAUCAUGGCUCAGAACGAACGCUGGCGGCAGGCUUAACACAUGCAAGUCGAGCGGAUGUAGCAAUACAUCAGCGGCAGACGGGAUAGUAACACGUGGGAACGUGCCCUUUGGUUCGGAAUAACUCGGCGAAAGCCGUGCUAAUACCGGAUAAGCCCUUACGGGGAAAGAUUUAUCGCCAUUGGAGCGGCCCGCGUCUGAUUAGCUAGUUGGUGAGGUAAUGGCUCACCAAGGCGACGAUCAGUAGCUGGUCUGAGAGGAUGAUCAGCAUCACUGGGACUGAGACACGGCCCAGACUCCUACGGGAGGCAGCAGUGGGGAAUAUUGGACAAUGGGCGCAAGCCUGAUCCAGCCAUGCCGCGUGGAUGAUGAAGGCCUUAGGGUUGUAAAAUCCUUUUAACGGGGAAGAUAAUGACGGUACCCGUAGAAUAAGCCCCGGCUAACUUCGUGCCAGCCGCCGCGGUAAU